rnacentral:rRNA from 1 species
GUGGAUUAGAUACCCUGGUAGUCCACGCCCUAAACGAUGCUGACUAGUUGUUGGGAAUUUACAUUCUCAGUAACGUAGCUAACGCGUGAAGUCAGCCGCCUGGGGAGUACGGUCGCAAGAUUAAAACUCAAAGGAAUUGACGGGGACCCGCACAAGCGGUGGAUGAUGUGGAUUAAUUCGAUGCAACGCGAAAAACCUUACCUACCCUUGACAUGUCACUAACGAAGUAGAGAUACAUUAGGUGCCCGUAAGGGAAAGUGAACACAGGUGCUGCACGGUCGUCGCCAGCU